CAAAGGCUUGGUCCUGACUUUACUAUCAACUUUAGCUAAACUUACACAUGCAAGUAUCCGCACCCCUGUGAGAAUGCCCUACAGUUCCCCGCCCGGGAACGAGGAGCCGGUAUCAGGCACACAUUAUUAGCCCACGACACCUUGCUUAGCCACACCCUCAAGGGAACUCAGCAGUGAUAGACAUUAAGCCAUAAGUGAAAACUUGACUUAGUCAAAGCUAACAGGGCCGGUAAAACUCGUGCCAGCCACCGCGGUUAUACGAGAGGCCCAAGUUGACAGUCACCGGCGUAAAGAGUGGUUAAAGAAUAAUUAAAACUAAAGCCGAACACCUUCAAGGCAGUUAUACGCACCCGAAGCCAGAGCCCAACUAGCAAAGUGGCUUUAUCUUCCCUGAACCCGGGGUUAAUUUAAACUAAAAGCCGACACCUUCAGGCAGUUAUACGCACCCGAAGGCCAGAAGCCCAACUACGAAAGUGGCUUUAUCUUUCCUGAACCCACGAGAGCUACGGCACAAACUGGGAUUAGAUACCCCACUAUGCCUAGCCCUAAACAUUGAUAGUACUCUACACCCACUAUCCGCCCGGGAACUACGAGCAUCAGCUUGAAACCCAAAGGACUUGGCGGUGCUUUAGAUCCACCUAGAGGAGCCUGUUCUAGAACCGAUAACCCCCGUUCAACCUCACCUUUUCUUGUUUUCCCCGCCUAUAUACCGCCGUCGUCAGCUUACCCUGUGAAGGACUCAUAGUAAGCAAAAUUGGCACAGCCCAAAACGUCAGGUCGAGGUGUAGCGUAUGGAAAGGGAAGAAAUGGGCUACAUUCCCUAAAAUUAGUGAAUACGGACGAUGCCCUGAAAAAGGCAUCUGAAGGAGGAUUUAGCAGUAAGCAGAAAAUAGAGCGUUCCGCUGAAAUUGGCCCUGAAGCGCGCACACACCGCCCGUCACUCUCCCCAAGCUCAAAAAUUAAUUAACUAAAACCCUAAGAUCGCAAAGGGGAGGCAAGUCGUAACAUGGUAAGUGUACCGGAAGGUGCACUUGGAAAAAU
rnacentral:rRNA from 1 species